rnacentral:misc_RNA from 1 species
AGGAGUCUAACAUCUGUGCAAGUUCGUGGGUGUGCAAACUUGAAGACAUAAUAAAGCAAACGCUGGUAACCUCGCUCCAGCAUGUAACCAAUUCAGAGCAACAAGUUUGAGUUAGAACAUAGGUGUUGGGACCCGAAAGAUGGUGAACUAUGCUUGAAUAAAGUGAAUUCAGGGGAAACUCUGGUGGAGGCUUGUAGCGGUUCUGACGUGCAAAUCGUUCGUCGUAUUUGGGUAUAGGGGCGAAAGACUAAUCGAACCAUCUAGUAGCUGGUUCCCGC